UUCUCAUUAGGAGAUAGAGUACUGGUCAGCCUGACACUUGCCCUGUGAGCUUCAAGCCUGCACCAAGGUCAGACCUAGUGUUCCCACGGACAGAGGCCAGAGAAGACACGAGGCGGUGUGGGGGAGCGAUGUUUUGGUUCCUCAAAUACUUUCCAGCGGCUUCAGAGCUUCCUCCUGUGGGAGGCCCUGUGUCAGCAGGCAAGGUUGGCAGCUGAUGAGAAGUAGACAAGAAAGAAAGCCCAGCAAGCUCCCGAGAGCCUGGGUAGUCCUGAUGCAAAGAGGCUAGGAUCACCUGGAAAGAGAGAAACUCAAUGGAGAAAAUGCCUCCAUCAUAUUGGCGUGUAGCUUCCCAGAACGUGCGCAAGCGGAGGAGGACGCUACUUGAGAUCAUAAAUGCGGAGACCUCAAGUCUGGUUUGAUGCUGCUUUCACAUUCCUACUUGAAGAUGUCUGUAUAGAAGAAAUGUUCUCCCUAUGUCAGCAACCUUCACAGCUACUGUUAAUAGCGCUGGAAUUCUCGAUUCUCAGUUGUGAGAGGCAUCACGGAGGCUCUGGACUGAGAAGCUCCUCUUUCUGUCCAUGUCCCCUCAACUUGCCCUUUCUUAUCACAUACUACCCGGUUUUGAUGGCUGUUCAAAUGCUACCUUCUUAUUCAGACUCUGCCCAAGCACCUUAUUUAAAAAUGCAUCCUCACUCUUUCCAGUAACUGACGGAAGCAGAGGCAGAGAUCCACAAACAAGUAGUAUGCUGAGCUCUGAGAGUCUUGUGGAAGAAAGGGAGGAGGGAUUGUACCGGCCAGGGAAGUCUUGAUGGGGGAACCAACAGAGACAGCUGACCUGAGCUCGCAGGAGGUCAUGGACACUGGACUAAUAGUCAGGGAGCCUGAAUGGGACCGACCUAGGCCCUCAGCAUGUGUGUGACAAUCGUGUAACUUGGUCUCUUAAUAAGGCUUCUAACAGUGAGAGCAGGACCUCUCCCUGGUGCUUAGCUGGUUUUUGGUAACCUGUUACUCAUGCUGGAUUACCUAACCCUGCCUUGACGUAGGGGAGGAGCUUGGUGCUGCCUCAAUUUGAUGCGCCAUGCUUUGUGCAAGCCC